CCAAAUCAUUUGAACAACUUUCAUUGAAUCAUUAUACUGCAACCAGUAAUAUCAAUUUACAAGUACCAGAAGAUCUGAUAGAAAGAAUGUUUGUUUUCUAUUACAACAGCGUCCUAACUGUAUUACAGUCAGCAUCUUGACAUUCAGGCGUAAAAAUCUCUUUUGGUGACAAAUUUACAAAUGACAUACUUGCGCCGCAUUACAAACCCACAACAUAAUCGGAUUUCCAUGUCACAAAUGCUGCCAGAUGACAUCUACCUUGACUAUCAAAGCUAAAACAAGCCUCUUGUUAAAUGAACAAAUGUUGCGGUGACAACCCCAAGCAAACCACCAGCAAUAACCUGCAAAGCAGUCCAAGUUUCAGAGAAAAACUAACAUCGGUAUCAUGUGCACAAUUAAUCAAAAGCAUUUGAAGAUACAACGGCAAAUUGUACUAUUGUUAUACAAUUAUCAUUAACGGAAAAAUGUUUGCAAGAGAGAAUUCAAACAACAGAGCAAAAAGCUUGAAUUUCUUUAAAUGGCAUAAACUAAAACCAGGAGAAAAUAUUAUUCCUAAAAAUAAAUGGUAUAUGCUAUGGAAAAAACAUGCUAAAAAUUGAGUUUGACGAGCCUUGAACUUCACAGCAUCACCUUGGAUAUGGUAUGUAAGAUGCAUCGAGAUUUUGGGGAACCUCAGUUCUUAACUUCUCAAAGCUAGAAACCAG
rnacentral:lncRNA from 1 species